GCCAUCGUGGUGUAGUGGUCAGCACGCAAGGCGCUAUUCCAGAGGUCCGCGGUUCGAGUCCCGGCGAAGGCG
rnacentral:tRNA from 1 species